UCUCCGGGUGCAGUCGUGCCUGCGGCCCCACCUACCGCCCUGCGGCAGCCGGUCCCGCUACAAUCUCAGAUGCCUUUGGCCUCUAGCUUCCUGGCUGAGAGGAUCGGCAGUCGGAGCACCAGGUCCUUGUAUACAGCCCGCUGGACAGAGUUGCUCGUGACGACCCUUUACUGGUGGUGCGGCAGCUGCAGGACUUCUCAGGCCCACAGGCCACAGUGAAUGAGGGCAGGGCAAUGGCCCAGCUCCAGCCUUUCCUCAGGGCAGACAUAUUUUCAAGUGAAGCAUUUUGAAAUUUAAAACAAUGAGUUCAGGUGUUAAUCUGAAAGAAAAACAAAAAGAAAGAAGCAAAAGACAACAACAACAACAACAACAAACAACAACCCACACUAUGUGGCAGACAAGCUCUAUGGGGAAUCAAGUGGAAGCCAAAGGUAGGUA